rnacentral:sRNA from 1 species
UGCCGGGCUCCGAAGGCUUGCGGAUUGCAGCCUGAAGCCCGGGGAGCGCAGCGCCAACUCCCGCUGCGCACCCCGGGCUUCAGGCAGCUAUCCGCAAGCCUUCAGAGCCCGGCA